CUUCCCGGAAACGAAAGUCUUCCGGUUCCGGGGGAAGUAUGGUUGCAAAGCUGAAACUUAAAGGAAUUGACGGAGGGGCACCACCAGGAGUGGAGCCUGCGGCUUAAUUUGACUCAACACGGGGAAACUCACCCGGCCCGGACACCGUAAGGAUUGACAGAUUGAUAGCUUUUUCAUGAUUCGGUGGAUGGUGGUGCAUGGCCGUUCUUAGUUCGUGGAGCGAUUUGUCUGGUUUAUUCCGAUAACGAGCGAGACUCUGGCCUACUAAAUAGUUGGCGCAUUGCUACUGUGCGUACACACUUCUUAGAGGGAUUUUCGGUGUUCAGCCGCACGAAAUUGAGCAAUAACAGGUCUGUGAUGCCCUUAGAUGUCCGGGGCUGCACGCGCGCUACACUGGCAAAAUCAGCGUGCUUGGCCUUUCCCGAAAGGGAUUGGUAAACCCGUGAAAAUUUGCCGUGAUUGGGAUCGGACAUUGCAAUUUA
rnacentral:rRNA from 1 species